rnacentral:rRNA from 1 species
AGAGUUUGAUCCUGGCUCAGGACGAACGCUGGCGGCGUGCCUAAUACAUGCAAGUCGAACGGUCUUUUCUAUGGAAGCUUGCUUCCACUGAGAAGAUAGUGGCGAACGGGUGAGUAACACGUGGGUAACCUGCCCAUAAGAGGGGGAUAACAUCCGGAAACGGGUGCUAAUACCGCAUAGUUUUCUUGAUCGCAUGAUUGAGAAAGGAAAGACGGCCUUUGUGCUGUCGCUUAUGGAUGGACCCGCGGCGUAUUAGUUAGUUGGUGAGGUAAUGGCUCACCAAGACGAUGAUACGUAGCCGACCUGAGAGGGUGAUCGGCCACAUUGGGACUGAGACACGGCCCAAACUCCUACGGGAGGCAGCAGUAGGGAAUCUUCCGCAAUGGACGAAAGUCUGACGGAGCAACGCCGCGUGAGUGAAGAAGGUUUUCGGAUCGUAAAACUCUGUUGUCAGAGAAGAACAAGUCGGAGAGUAACUGCUCCGGCCUUGACGGUAUCUGACCAGAAAGCCACGGCUAACUACGUGCCAGCAGCCGCGGUAAUACGUANGUGGCAAGCGUUGUCCGGAUUUAUUGGGCGUAAAGCGAGCGCAGGCGGUUCCUUAAGUCUGAUGUGAAAGCCCACGGCUCAACCGUGGNAGGUCAUUGGAAACUGGGAACUUGAGUGCAGAAGAGGAGAGUGGAAUUCCAUGUGUAGCGNUGAAAUGCGUA